AACGAACGCUGGCGGCGUGGAUAAGACAUGCAAGUCGAACGGGAUUUUAUUUGUAGCAAUACACGUAAAGUCUAGUGGCGUAAGGGUGCGUAACACGUGGGGAAUCUGCCGAGAAGUAGGGGAUAGCUCGCCGAAAGGCGAAUUAAUACCGCAUGUGGUUAGUGAAGACAUCUUCACGACACCAAAGCCGGGGCAACCUGGCGCUUCUUGAUGGCCCCGCGGCCUAUCAGCUAGUUGGUGAGGUAACGGCUCACAAAGGCUAUGACGGGUAGCUGGUCUGAUAGGACGACCAGCCACACUGGAACUGAGGCACGGUCCAGACACCUACGGGUGGCAGCAGUCGAGAAUUUUUCUCAAUGGGGGAAACCCUGAAGGAGCGACGCCGCGUGGAGGAUGAAGGUCUUCGGAUUGUAAACUCCUGUCAUUUGGGAACAAUGUGCACUGGUUAACUGCCGGUGUAUUGAUAGUACCAGAAGAGGAAGAGACGGCUAACUCUGUGCCAGCAGCCGCCGUAA
rnacentral:rRNA from 1 species